AUUGAACGCUGGCGGCAGGCCUAACACAUGCAAGUCGAGCGAGCGGCGGACGGGUGAGUAAUGUCUGGGUAACUGCCUGAUGGAGGGGGAUAACUACUGGAAACGGUAGUUAAUUCCGCGUAUCAUAAGAUGUGCCCAGUUGGGGGUGGUUAGUUGGUGGGGUGACGGCUCACCUAGGCGACGAUCCCUAGCUGGUCUGCCGGGAUGACCAGCCACACGGGAACUGAGACACGGUCCAGACUCCUACAGGAGGCAGCGGUGGGGAAUAUUGCACAAUGGGCGCAAGCCUGAUGCAGCCAUGCCGCGUGUGUGAAGAGGGCCUUCGGGUUGUAAGGCACUUUCAGCGGGGAGGCGUUACCCGCAGAAGAAGCACCGGCUAACUCCGUGCCAGCAGCCGCGGUAAUAC
rnacentral:rRNA from 1 species